rnacentral:lncRNA from 13 species
CCUGCAGUCUAUAGCAGUCACUAUCAGUCAUCUCAGAUAAGACUAAUUAGAAUGGUUAUCAGCUAUAUUGCAGUAAUUACACUACAGUAGAAGUCAUUAGUUUAUUCAUUUGGGUUUGGACAUAGGGGAAAUUAGAAUAUUGGUAUCCUGACUGUAUCAAGAAUGAAUCUGGUCUGGUCAUAUGGUUUCAAAACGUCUCUCUCGCUCUGCCCUCUCUCCUUCUCCUCUCAGAGCCGUUUGAUGAUUCCCUGGGUGUAUCAGGUCUGGGGGUCUCAGCGGCGCCCCCUCUGGUGGAACAGCUGCAGUGCGAGGCCUGGUUCCACGGCAGCCUGAGUCGCAGGCAGGCUGAGAGACUGCUGACCCGUGACGGAGACUUCCUGGUUCGAGAGUCAGGCACCACCCCUGGACAGUACGUCCUCACUGGACAACAGGGGGGUCAGCCCAAACACCUACUACUGGUCGACCCAGAGGGAGUGGUACGUACCAAAGACCACCACUUUGAGAGUGUGAGCCACCUGAUCAGUUACCACAUGGACAACAGACUGCCCAUCGUAUCAGCAGGCAGUGAGGUGUGUCUGCAACAACCAGUGGAGCACGGGGCCUGAACACACACACACACAGCAAUGCAACACACACACACUCUCAGAAACACUACACACAUAAGCAGUGCUGACAACAUUAAGGAAAGCCAAAAAAACACCUCUAUCACUCUUUCUGCCAAAAUCAUUUGCUCUCUGCUUUUCCUCACACCCUUCUCUCCUCCUGGACGACUCACUGUUACCUCAGUGAUCCCUACUUCUGUUCAUCCUUCCGUCAUCGAGGUCUUGAUCCAGACAUGGCAGAGGAAACAGUUUCUCUCACCGUCACAGAAGCACUCCAAAGACUUGUCUGAUGAUUGGACUCAUCAGAGAGCCAAUCAAAUAUCAGUGGAACACAGGAACAGCCAAUCAAAUAUCAGUGGAACACAGGAACAGCCAAUCAAAUAUCAGUGGAACACAUGAAUAACCAAUCAUGACUGAGAUCAGGCCUCCUGUUAAUAUGCAUUGACAUUUUUGUGUCCACACCAAUCAGGGCCCUCGCUUACCAUCAAGCCACUUCCAUUAAAAUACCUUUCAUCUUUGACCAUUGACCCUGAGUGAUACCUGGUGAUGUCACGGUCUCUGUAUGCAAAAAGGGGGUUGCUAUACCAACAACCAUUGUCUCUGUCUGUCCAAAUAUGGACAAGGAUUCUUUCCGGCCUCUGAAGGUGGAGUUUGAUAAAAGGAUGUCCGACAUCCGCCUGUCUGUCUGCAUGGGACUGGUCUCCCUGUCUGUCUGCAUGGGACUGGUCUCCCUGUCUGUCUGCAUGGGACUGGUCUUACCUUUCUGUCCUGAUCAUGACAAAGAAAGUGGACUUGGUUGGACUGGGGCGGCAGAAACCAUGGAGAUGACUCCUACACCAACAUACAGUGUGCUAGUCUGUAUCUGUCAUGUGUACUUUCAUUGGGAGUAUAGUGUCUUUACAUAGAGAGGGAUGUAGAGAAGACUGGGAAGGGGCAGGAGGCCGGGGGGAGGUUCCACAUCUAGAGAUGUCAUCAGACCUAGACACGAUGUCAUCUGAAAGAGUUCAAAACCAAUUCUAGGACGAUGUCACAGUCAACCCAAAUGCGACUGUCACAAUUUAAUCGGUGCUGUGUUGGAAUCGUAGUUCGGAUUAAUGCCAAUAUUGUCUUGCUUUUCAAUGGAUUUGUUGUUAAUAUCUGCUUGCCUUGACAAUCUAUGGCCAUGUCUCUGUCUGGACGGGUGGGGGGUGGAGGGGUUGGGGGGCAUACUGGAUGAAGUGUGUUUAAUGCCGAAAGCGUUCGGUCCAGAGCAUUCAAAGCAUAGAUUUUAUCUCCUCCCCAAAUGUGCUGCAACACUUGGUCAGGAGAUUAGCUUUUAGCGUUAGCAUUAGUGUAAGCAUUAGUGUGUGAUGAUUCUUCUCAGUUCACUGCAGGGAAAACUGUGUUAUCAGCACUGUUCACAACAAAAUCUGGGAGCUUCGCGAACGUUGGUCAGAUGUUGGACUUUGACGUGUUGUUUUCCUUGGAAUUAGAAGAUAGUAGAGGGAGAGAACGUGGAGGAAUCAUCCUCUCCCUCCUUCUCUUCAUGAUAUGUUUUGUAUCUUUUACUCGUGCCUUGUUUCUUCGAUGCAGUCACCUCACUCCAGUGCAGUCUGUCACCUAAUGUACUGUGCUUAUUGUACAGUCAGUUGAUGUACUUAAUCCAAAUGUAGUGGACCGUUGGAUCCUGUCACAUGGUCUCUCAGUCCAUCAAAGACUCUGCAAAAAGGACACUGACUCUCACCACCCAGGUCCAGUGAUGCCAAUCCGCUCCUCUAUUGCACAUUCAUUCUUACUUCCUGUUGUCACUUGUUGUUGUCACGGUUGCUUGAUGUCGCAGCUCUCAUUGGAAGGAUUUCCACUCCACCUGUAAAUAACAUCAGAUCUGAUUGGUUGGUUUGAGUUAUUUGUUCUGAAAUGAAAGUCUUUAUUGUUUAGAUGUUAUUAAUAACAUGGGUGGGACAGAACCAGAUACUGUAUUUCACAUGUAAUACCCACGGAAAACUUUUCUCUCUGAAUCCAAUUCAUUUUGAUUCUAGCCAAUGAACCAUGUCCAGGUUUUUGAGGGAGGCUGAAACCAAACUGUAAAUGUGGAAGUGAAGAGUAAACUGGGAUCUGCCACCUGCUGUACAAAAUAUUUCUGUCUCAUCAGUAGGGUUGCAAAAUCCUGUGGUUUUCCAGAAAUCCUGGUUGGAGGAUUCACGGAAUUCCUGUUUAUUCGCUCGUGUAAUUCUAGGAUUAUUUUAACCAGGAUUUCUGGAAAACCGGGGAAUUUGGGGAAAGUUAUCUGAAUUUUGCAACUCUAGUCAUGAGAAAGGGCUCUCUGAACCCGGACAGGUAAUUGUUUUAUUCAUCUUUCUCAUCGUGCUUGUGUGUGUGUUGUGAGAGAGGAUGUGUGGAUGAUCAGAGUUUAUGGUUGGGAGUGUAGGGGGUUGUGUAGUUCUUACAUGGUGGCACUUGUGCUCUGUGUGUGAGGCCUUUGCUUCAUUCUGUCACAAACACACAGGAAGGACAGCUGUGUUAGACACAGACUGUUUAAGUGACUAUAGGUCCUGGAUAGGCAACAAGAAAACAAGUAUACAAGCCCCAAGGUGUGUGUGUAAAAGGAAUCAUCUAUCCUCUACAUAAUUUGUGAAACAUUCUAGCGUUGUCAUUGUUCAUCACAGUUGCCUUUNNNNNNNNNNNNNNNNNNNNNNNNNNNNNNNNNNNNNNNNNNNNNNNNNNNNNNNNNNNNNNNNNNNNNNNNNNNNNNNNNUGUUGCUCUCGGACAGUGCGUGUUGCUCUCGGACAGUGUGCGUGUUGCUCUAGGACAGUGUGCGUGUUGCUCUAGGACAGUGUGCGUGUUGCUCUAGGACAGUGUGCGUGUUGCUCUAGGACAGUGUGCGUGUUGCUCUAGGACAGUGUGUGUUGCUCUCGGACAGUGUGUGUUGCUCUAGGACAGUGUGUGUGUGUCAACUGUGACACUGUGUGUGUCAACUGGUCUCUGUGUUCCCAUAGGGGUGUUGUGACGUGAAUACCAUUAAUGCGAUGACAAUUAUUUAAUCAAAUCAAUUUACUACGUUUAAAUGAUUAUGUGAUUAAAUUAAUGAUGUAACAAUUAACUCAUUAGCAAUCUUGGGCACCACAGAAAAAGUUUGUUUAAUGAGUUACAAUUUCCCCGAAUUGACUGAAGAAUAUCAGAAUAUACCUUUAUCAUAUUAGUCAUCCAUGAAUUAUUAUUACCUCAUAUCAGUCUCAUUCUGAACGUCGUUGACUUAAAUCUGCACCAACCCUAGUCUGCAUGAUGAUUCAGCGAUGCACAAAUUGUCUUAAUUAUUUAUUUACUGACUAACUAAAUAAUCACACA